UACGGAGGGUGCGAGCGUUGUCCGGAAUCACUGGGCGUAAAGCGCACGUAGGCGGGUUGUUAAGUCAGGGGUGAAAUCCUGGAGCUCAACUCCAGAACUGCCUUUGAUACUGGCAACCUAGAGACUGGAAGAGGUUAGUGGAAUUCCCAGUGUAGAGGUGAAAUUCGUAGAUAUUGGGAAGAACACCAGUGGCGAAGGCGGCUAACUGGUCCAGCACUGACGCUGAGGUGCGAAAGCGUGGGGAGCGAACAGG
rnacentral:rRNA from 1 species